rnacentral:rRNA from 1 species
GUAGGUGCGUAUCGGAUUUACUGGGCGUAAGCGCGCGUAGGUGGUUAAUUAAGUCAAAUGUGAAAUCCCCGAGCUUAACUUGGGAAUUGCAUUCGAUACUGGUUAGCUAGAGUAUGGGAGAGGAUGGUAGAAUUCCAGGUGUAGCGGUGAAAUGCGUAGAGAUCUGGAGGAAUACCGAUGGCGAAGGCAGCCAUCUGGCCUAAUACUGACACUGAGGUGCGAAAGCAUGGGGAGCAAACAGGAUUAGAUACCCUGGUAGUCCAUGCCGUAAACGAUGUCUACUAGCCGUUGGGGGAUUUGAUCCUUUAGUGGCGCAGCUAACGCGAUAAGUAGACCGCCUGGGGAGUACGGUCGCAAGACUAAAACUCAAAUGAAUUGACGGGGGCCCGCACAAGCGGUGGAGCAUGUGGUUUAAUUCGAUGCAACGCGAAGAACCUUACCUGGCCUUGACAUAGUAGAAACUUUCCAGAGAUGGAUUGGUGCCUUCGGGAAUCUACAUACAGGUGCUGCAUGGCUGUCGUCAGCUCGUGUCGUGAGAUGUUGGGUUAAGUCCCGCAACGAGCGCAACCCUUUUCCUUACUUGCCAGCAUUUCGGAUGGGAACUUUAAGGAUACUGCCAGUGACAAACUGGAGGAAGGCGGGGACGACGUCAAGUCAUCAUGGCCCUUACGGCCAGGGCUACACACGUGCUACAAUGGUCGGUACAAAGGGUUGCUACACAGCGAUGUGAUGCUAAUCUCAAAAAGCCGAUCGUAGUCCGGAUCGCAGUCUGCAACUCGACUGCGUGAAGUCGGAUCGCUAGUAAUCGCGGAUCAGAAUGCCGCGGUGAAUACGUUCCCGGGCCUUGUACACACCGCCCGUCACACCAUGGGAGUUUGUUGCACCAGAAGUAGUAGUCUAACCGCAAGGAGGACGCUUACCACGGUGUGGCCGAUGACUGGGGUGAGCUCGAGG